rnacentral:lncRNA from 1 species
UCUCUCAAACUCUCUUCCUUCUCUCUACUUUCUCUCUCUAGUUUCUCUGUGAUUUCAUCGAUUAAUCUGAACGUUUACAUGGUAUCAGAGCCUUACAACGAUCCGAUCAUGUUUAUUUCCACAUCAGUAUCACUUUUGAACAUUUGUUUGACGAUUUUUGACGAUUUUUCUGAGAUCGAACGGUCAGUGAUGAUUCAGUUUUUUGGUCGUACAUGGUUCAAAGUGUUUUACACCAUGAUAUCCGGGUGAAUCUUCUUAACCUCAACGUUUUAA